CGGAGUUCCGUUCUGAUUUCGAGGCAGAGACGGGGGACCCAGAGUCUCCGGGCCAGGCAUUGCGCCGGUCCUUGGGGUGAAGCCGCAGCUACACGCGCGGCCGGAUGACCUCAUCCGAACCCGACAGCUAACUCCGCAGGCGCUGAGAGGUAAU
rnacentral:sRNA from 2 species